rnacentral:lncRNA from 1 species
CAAACCACAGGAAGUGAGGCUCCCUGGGGCACCUCCAGCGAUGACAUCCUGAGAUCUCACCCCUUCUUCCCAUCUCUGAUAGAGGCCGAUGUGACCAGCACAGUGCACACGGCCUGCCGUGGUUUUCCAGGCCCUGCUAACCAGCCAGGACAACACCGAAGUGCAGGGCAAGGCAUCCAUAACGGGAAGCGGCCAGGGUUAGUCUUGGCACAUACCAGGAGCAAAUGAACAAAGACUCGAGGGGCAGGUGGCCCAUCCUCUGUGACAGGAGCUGAUGGAGCAGAGGGUGCAGCAGAGGGCAUCUGGGCCCCGUGCGGAGCUUCCAGGGCUGGCAGGGGCCGAGGACAUGUGGAGCGCCUGCCUGCCCCAGCUGGCCUACUUUGGGCAGUGCCAAUGGCAGCCGGGGGCAGCGUUCCCGGCUCAGGGGGCGGCCAAUUCCAGGAAGGGCGGGCCAAGAGCCUCAGCAGGGGAAGGAACAGAUGACAUCUCGAUGCAUCAAGGGGACAUGGAACUUUUGAACAAAGAGAUUGUUUUACUAAAUGGGUACAUGGUCAGAGAACACAAAAUCAGACAAGGUCAUCGUGCACCAGACAUGCGAACUGCUGCCACAGCCCGACAGAGCAGAGGUGCACUGAGAGACCGAAAGACCACGGAGGAGGUGAAAAUGUCUCCGGGCACCAGACAAUCUUACCACAGUUUUAGAAUGUGCGAACCCCUGUAGAAUGAUUGUGACAUGAGAGCCGCCUGCUAGAUGCGCCUCCAGGAAACCAUUGUGUGUGUUUGGAGGGGAAGAUAAUACUUACCCCACCUCAGAUUCUGACUGUCAGCAUCUAUAAGACUUUCCUUAUUAUUUUUACUUUUUUGUUCUCAAUUCAUUUUAAAAUUAAAUUGAUGUUCUCUGUGCCUGGCGUAUCAUCUGUGCUCAAUAAAUGUAGCUAUUCCUGGACAAGUUAUGGUUAUGGCGAACCACUGAUUCACACUCCUCUGUUCUCUGGCACAUCUGUGUUCUCUGUCAGACUCUGGAACAUUCUUUACGACAGGACGGUAGGAUGAUGGAAGCAUCACUCGACUGUUGGACCGUGGCUUGUAGUCCUCAUGGAUCCUGAUACUCCAAGAGCAUGGGGAUUGUAGCGGCGCUCUUCCCUCAAUUGCUUUAGGACUCAAAGGCCCUCCAUAGUAGACACUCAAUUAGUGUGAUCGAAUUCUCCAAGAAAAGAUAUUUUAGGUUAUAUCUUAUGAGAUUAAUCAUAUUUGAUGAUUUUUAGCCCAUAAAAUAGCAAUUUCAGAUGGUUUAAUUUAAUAAUUUCCAGUGCUCACUACAUAACCUUUCCUGAAAUAACUCACUUAGAGGAGAUUUUUAAAGGUUCCGGUAAGUAAUUCAUCGAAAACUUCUUGGGGGAAAAAUGGUACUAUAAAUUUCUCCUGCCAGCA